rnacentral:rRNA from 1 species
AUUGAACGCUGGCGGCAGGCCUAACACAUGCAAGUCGAGCGGUAACACAGAGGAGCUUGCUUCUUGGGUGACGAGCGGCGGACGGGUGAGUAAUGCCUGGGGAUCUGCCCGAUAGAGGGGGAUAACUACGGGAAACUGUAGCUAAUACCGCAUAAUGUCUACGGACCAAAGUGGGGGCUCUUCGGACCUCAUGCUAUCGGAUGAACCCAGGUGGGAUUAGCUAGUUGGUGAGGUAAUGGCUCACCAAGGCGACGAUCUCUAACUGGUUUGAGAGAAUGACCAGUCACACUGGAACUGAGACACGGUCCAGACUCCUACGGGAGGCAGCAGUGGGGAAUAUUGCACAAUGGGCGCAAGCCUGAUGCAGCCAUGCCGCGUGUGUGAAGAAGGCCUUCGGGUUGUAAAGCACUUUCAGCGGGGAGGAAGGGCUACUAGUUAAUACCUAGUGGCAUUGACGUUACUCGCAGAAGAAGCACCGGCUAACUCCGUGCCAGCAGCCGCGGUAAUACGGAGGGUGCAAGCGUUAAUCGGAAUUACUGGGCGUAAAGCGCACGCAGGCGGUUUGUUAAGUCANAUGUGAAAUCCCCGAGCUCAACUUGGGAACUGCAUUUGAAACUGGCAAGCUAGANUCUUGUAGAGGGGGGUAGAAUUCC